UGGUUUGAUUCUGGCUCAGGAUGAACGCUGGCGGCAUGCCUAAUACAUGCAAGUCGAACGGAGUGAAGCCUUCGGGUUUCAUUCAGUGGCGAACGGGUGAGUAAUACGCAGGGAACCUGGCCAUGGCAGGGGGAUACACUCUGGAAACGGAGCAUAAGACCCCAUAGGCAGUAAGGCGGCAUCGCCUUACUGUUAAAGAAAGCUGAAAGGCUUUGGCGAUGGAUGGACCUGCGGUGCAUUAGCUUGUUGGUGAGGCAACGGCUUACCAAGGCGAUGAUGCAUAGCCGGCCUGAGAGGGCGGACGGCCACACUGGGACUGAGACACGGCCCAGACUCCUGCGGGAGGCAGCAGUAGGGAAUUUUCGUCAAUGGGCGCAAGCCUGAACGAGCAAUGCCGCGUGAGUGAGGAAGGUCUUCGGACUGUAAAGCUCUGUUGCCGGGAAAAAGGGGGAAAUGCAGGAAAUGGCAUUUCAUGGAUGGUACCCGGCCAGAAAGCCACGGCUAACUACGUGCCAGCAGCCGCGGUAAUACGUAGGUGGCGAGCGUUAUCCGGAAUGAUUGGGCGUAAAGGGUGCGCAGGCGGUCUGUUAAGUCUGAAGGCAAAGGGAUGAGCUCAACUCAUUUAUGAUUCAGAAACUGGCAGACUUGAGGACAGGAGAGGGCGGUGGAACUCCAUGUGUAGCGGUAAAAUGCGCAGAGAUAUGGAAGAACACCAGUGGCGAAGGCGGCCGCCUGGCCUGUGACUGACGCUGAGGCACGAAAGCGUGGGGAGCAAAUAGGAUUAGAUACCCUAGUAGUCCACGCCGUAAACGAUGAGGAGCAGGUGUUGGGAGUNAAAUCUCAGUGCCGAAGCCAACGCAGUGACUCCUCCGCCUGGGGAGUAUGCACGCAAGUGUGAAACUCAAAGGAAUUGACGGGGGCCCGCACAAGCGGUGGAGUAUGUGGUUUAAUUCGAAGCAACGCGAAGAACCUUACCAGGUUUUGACAUCGGAUGCGAAGGCGCAGAGAUGCGCUGGAGGCUAUCAUUCAGACAGGUGGUGCAUGGUUGUCGUCAGCUCGUGUCGUGAGAUGUUCAGUUAAGUCUGGCAACGAGCGCAACCCCCGUGGUAUGUUACUAACGCUUUAGGGCGAGGACUCAUAUCAGACUGCCGGUGACAAACCGGAGGAAGGCGGGGAUGACGUCAAAUCAUCAUGCCCCUUAUGACCUGGGCUACACACGUACUACAAUGGCGUCUACAGAGGGAAGCGACCCUGAGAAGGGAAGCGAAACCGGAAAAGGGCGUCCCAGUUCGGAUUGAAGUCUGCAACCCGACUUCAUGAAGAUGGAAUCGCUAGUAAUCGCGGAUCAGCAUGCCGCGGUGAAUACGUUCCCGGGCCUUGUACACACCGCCCGUCAAACCAUGGAAGCCGGCAACGCCCGAAGCCGGUGGCAUAACCUUUUAGGAGUGAGCCGUCGAAGGCGAGGCCGAUGACUGGGGUUAAGUCGUAACAAGGUAGCC
rnacentral:rRNA from 1 species